AUGUUUUCUGUUUAAAAGGUAC
rnacentral:piRNA from 1 species